UUACAUUCAACCCUUCACAAGUGGGACAAUAUUUAUGUCUAUGGACUUUUGUCACUAUACGUAUUACUACUGUAGUUAAUUAUUGUGUUUAUAUGUCACUAAUCUGCCCUUGCUUCCAUGGAUUACUCUCUCACGUGUAACAACCCUCUUCAUUCUAUAUCACAAUUUUUCAUUUUUCUCUUAUUUCUCUCUUUUUUUAGUUACGCUUAAUUCUAACUUCAUUCUCCUAAUCUAUUUCUAUCAUUUAAAAAAA
rnacentral:lncRNA from 1 species